rnacentral:rRNA from 1 species
AUUGAACGCUGGCGGCAGGCCUAACACAUGCAAGUCGAGCGGAGCGGCGGACGGGUGAGUAAUGCCUAGGAAACUGCCUGGUAGUGGGGGAUAACGUCCGGAAAAGGGCGCUAAUACCGCAUACUAUCAGAUGAGCCGAGGUCGGAUUAGCUAGUUGGUGGGGUAAAGGCCUACCAAGGCGACGAUCCGAAACUGGUCUGAGAUGAUGAGGAGUCACACGGGAACUGUGACCCGGUCCAGACUCCUACGGCAGGCAGCAGUGGGGAAUAUUGGACAAUGGGCGAAAGCCUGAUUCAGCCAUGCCGCGUGUGUGAAGAAGGUCUUCGGAUUGUAAAGCACUUUAAGUUGGGACGCUUUACCAACAGAAUAAGCACCGGCUAACUUCGUGCCAGCAGCCGCGGUAAUAC